GUCAGUGUGGUGCUGUGGUUUGAAUGUUGGUCUAUAGCUCUGAAGACCAGUGUUCAAAUCCCUGCUCAGCCA